ensembl:lncRNA
AUGAAGAUGGUAUCUUUGCUCUGUGCGUCUUUUAUGGGGAUGAGCAUCUCUGUGGGACAGUUGGUUUANNNNNNNNNNNNNNNNNNNNNNNNNNNNNNNNNNNNNNNNNNNNNNNNNNNNNNNNNNNNNNNNNNNNNNNNNNNNNNNNNNNNNNNNNNNNNNNNNNNNGCCCCAGCCCGUGUGGCGGGGCUCCCCGUGUCGGGGGUGUCCCUCGGGCUCCGUGCCGGCAAGCUGCCGGUGGCUGGAGACGCCUUCAGUCCGACGCCUUCAGGCCCUGAAUGUGUUUUCUGGUUAACUGUUUUUCUGCCUUCCGUACUGCAGAUAGCGCAGAGCCACUGUUUGGCUGCAGAUGCGUGCUUCUAAGUUCAUCUUAAAAAGAAUUGCUGCCAGGAAGAUACUGAUAUAGAAGACAGGUACACACUGCAGAUAUAGAGCACAAAUUUUAUUUCUUUCUCUCAAAACUCUCUUGCUGAUGAACACAUAAAAUAAUUUAAAAACAAAAUAAAACUCUAGCAAAUGCUCCAUUAUCUAGAAAAUGCAAAAGAUUGCAUAUGUGUAACAAUGCAAUUUUAUGGAUUUGUACCUCAGCAUGUUCUAUGUCUGCUAAUCAUAUUUCACUUUAUUUGAAGCAGUCAGCUUUGGGUAGGAGGGUCUGAGAGAGCUGGGCCUGAUCAGCCUGGAGAAGAGGAGGUUCCAGGGGAUCUCAGUGUACUUAGAUACCUGAAGGGAGGGAGCAAAGGGUACAGAACCAGAGUCUUUUCUGUGGUGCCCAGUGCCAGGAUAAGAGGCAACUGAUACAAACUGGAACACGGGAUGUUCCCUCAGAGCACCAGGAGCAUUUCUGUGCUGUGCAGGUGACAGAGCGCUGGCACAGGCUGCCCAGAGGCAGGGUCUGCUCUGUGGGCUCUGCUCCUCAGAGACCUUCAGCAGCUGCCUGGACGUAGGCCUGGGCCCCUGCUCUGGUGUCCCUGCUGCAGCGGGGGAUGGGUCCAAAGGACCCAGAGGACACUGCCAGCCUCAGCCAGUCUGGGGUGCUAUGGUAUGUUUAGAGGUUUAUUUCACUAUCUAUCUAUCUAUCUAUCUAUCUAUCUAUCUAUCUAUUUAUUUAUUUAUUUAUUUAUUUAUUUUCUCCCAGAUGUUUUUGAUGCUUUUUCAGACAGAUGUUUCAGUUAUGGUUCAAUCUACCUAUUCUUCACACAGGAAUGUUGGAAAAGCAAUGAAAGCAGUCUUAGUGCUAUAGCACAUUCCCUUCUAUAUGUUCUGGAAAAUUACUGAGUUGUAACCUGAGGAAAAUAGAGCUCUAGCUGGCACCAGUAAGUGGGUAUUACAACAUGAAUGAACUUCCAUUUCAUGAAUUUGAGUGUGGAUGAGAUAAACAUUAAGGCAAAUGCGCAAAUCAGAGCACAGUUAACUUCCAGUAAAGAAAAGGCUUAAGUUUUAUAAAAUUUCUGGCUUGAAUAUUCAUGAUAGUUCAGACUUUAGUACUGAAGAAAUUACCCGUACAGAGCUUUCUACAGCUCAGAGGGAAAUAAUUUGAGGCCAGAUCUGACUCAAAUCAGUAGGGGAAUUCCCAAGACUUCAGUGCUGUUUACUAAUGAUGUGUAGCACUGAAAGAAAAGCAGUGAUUUAUUAUUUCAAAAGAUCAGACACUUUGUACCACUGGUCCAUGGAAGACAACAUUAGAAAGGAGCACUAUACCAUAGAUACAAGUGUCAUGAAAGAAAAAAGGGAUAUCACUGCAUAUCACACUGGGCAGUGGUACUAUUUAAUUUGCAGCAGAACUGAAGCCAUAGCUUUGGGACUAAAAAGUCUGAAGUUUUACAUGUUGUUUCCUAGGAAACAUUAGAAAGCUGGAAAUCAUAAGAAUGUAACACAGUCUACAGGAGAAAAUGUGUUGGAUCUAGACUGACUUAUCUUUGAUCUAGGCUAGGCUUUGGGACCUGUUAGAAGCUGAUCCUGAACAUGGGCUCUAAAAUACUUAAUUAGAGUUAUUUCCCCAACUCAUCCCAAUUAAGUAGCUGGGAUGUUUGUGAUUUUCAAAACUUUGCUAAGGAAAUGACAUGAACCAAACAUCUCCCUCUGUGUUCGAAUUUGACAUUGUCCUUGAAGGUUUCAUACACUGGAAAGCUUUCAGAAUUGUAACUUAAUGCUCCAUCAGAGGAAAUGAAUCCAUUAACUCAUGUUAGAAUGGAAGACAGGCACAUUCCUGGUAGAAACAAGUUCUUCCAGGUUCAGUAAUUUAAGCCUCCUUAUCUGUUGAUUAAUUUGUAUAAAAUACAUUUUGUUUGUUUGAGAGAGAAGUUCUUUCUGCAUGGAUUUAAAAAUGUCCAUGCAAGCAACAGCAGAAAAAUAAAUGCUCUU